CUUGCAAAGUUUGCAAAUUUUGUAUACUUUUGUAUUGCAAUUUUCACAUGCAAUACAAAAGUAUGCAAAAUUUGCAAACUUUGCAAGGCUAU
rnacentral:miRNA from 1 species